GGCGCGUGCUUAAUGAGUACACGCUUUGUAAAAGAAAAUGUAGUUCAGCGGGAUGCUGGCUUAUACUAGUUGACAUUUUCUUUAAUACAAUCUCCAGUAUGAGGAAAAACUACUGUUUGGGCCGCGUGAAAUGCGUCGGGUCCAUC
rnacentral:ncRNA from 1 species